rnacentral:rRNA from 1 species
GCGGCAGGCUUAAUACAUGCAAGUCGUGGGGCAGCAGGUUCCGAGCAAUCGGAAUGCUGGCGACCGGCAAACGGGUGCGUAACACGUACGCAAUCUACCCAUUACAGGGGAAUAGCCCAGGGAAACUUGGAUUAAUACCCCAUAUUAUAUAGGAUUGGCAUCAGUCUUAUAUCAAAGCUUCGGCGGUAAUGGAUGAGCGUGCGGUUGAUUAGAUAGUUGGCGGGGUAACGGCCCACCAAGUCUACGAUCAAUAGCUGAUGUGAGAGCAUGAUCAGCCACACGGGCACUGAGACACGGGCCCGACUCCUACGGGAGGCAGCAGUAAGGAAUAUUGGGCAAUGGACGAAAGUCUGACCCAGCCAUGCCGCGUGAAGGAUGAAGGUCCUCUGGAUUGUAAACUUCUUUUAUCUGGGGCGAAAAUCACCCUUUCUAGGGUGCUUGACAGUACCAGAGGAAUAAGCACCGGCUAACUCCGUGCCAGCAGCCGCGGUAAUACGGAGGGUGCAAGCGUUAUCCGGAUUUACUGGGUUUAAAGGGUGCGUAGGCGGGCAGGUAAGUCAGUGGUGAAAUCCCGAGCUUACUCGGGAACUGCCGUUGAUACUAUCUGUCUGAUAUCGGGAGUAGCGGAAUAUGUCAUGUAGCGGUGAAUGCUUAGAUAUGACAUAGACACCAUUG